CUAGAACCACUAGCAGGAUAAGAAAAGAUAACUCAUUUGUAACAGAACAGUUAUAUUCUGCUUCAGUGCUUUUGCAGUCUCCCCACUGCUCAACAGCCGAAAUCUCCCAUGGUAUUUGUGACUCCUAACAACAACGUCUUCGGAUGAAAUGAUAAAGCUGAAACCUGAAGGCACUCAAAGGAAACAGUAAAGACAAUGAAAUGAAGAUGCAUGGAGCAGAAUCUUUGUGGAAAAGCCUGCCAGGUUUGAACACCACUUCAAAAUAAGAUGUGCUGUAGGAAAGUCUCCUUCAGUGGAUGAUGUCACAUUCCCCCAGAAAUAACAGGGUCCUAAAGCCCGGAUGCCAGGAAAAGAAUGAUGUGUGCUUGACAGCGCAUCCUAAUCAAUCAAGGCUGAAGACAUGAGUAGAGGUGAAGAGCGCAGCAGAACAUCAAAGGAUUUCUCCUCCUAUGCCUUGGACAGAGGAGAUAAAGUCUGUAAAGAUGGAACAACCAUGACGCCACUGACGCCAGGGUGAGAGGAGUGAAGAACUGAACGUCUGAGGCAAGGACUCCAGAAAUGGCAUAAUUGCAUUCCAAUGAAGGAAGUGAAGGGGAUGAUAUCAAAGACCAUCCAAGGCUCAGAAGAGUAUAACAACUCGGAGUCCGGACCAGAAGCGCAGAGGGCCGAUAUUAAACCCAGAGAGACAGGUCUCAUCCCUCUCCAACACUGCUCAGCACUC